UACGUAGGGGGCAAGCGUUGUCCGGAAUCAUUGGGCGUAAAGCGCGUGUAGGCGGCUCGAUAAGUCUGCUGUGAAAGUCCAGGGCUCAACCCUGGAAUGCCGGUGGAAACUGUCGAGCUAGAGUCCGGAAGAGGCGAGUGGAAUUCCUGGUGUAGCGGUGAAAUGCGCAGAGAUCAGGAGGAACACCAAUGGCGAAGGCAGCUCGCUGGGACGGUACUGACGCUGAGACGCGAAAGCGUGGGGAGCAAACAGG
rnacentral:rRNA from 1 species